GCAAACUUUGAGAGUAAUCCCUGCUCUCUCAUUUUUUCUUAAGUUCUACUUGCUGUGAUAACGGACCUGUAAACUCAGUGAUAUUCUACUCAAAGCUACAGUGCUGAUGCGGACUGUCUGUGUACUAUACACCAAUUAGCCAAUCCCGGGACCCCUAAUGAACUGGAGCCAAUGACGUUCCGCUAUGUGUUGGAGGUGUGUCAAGCCUGGGUCUUUCAAAAAGCAUCAGCGGUGUACUUUUUAUAUCACUCUUGUGAAAGUCAGGACGUUACCUGACGAAACGCGUAGAGACUCUCCUCUUUGCUCUACCACGUCCUUGGUGAUACCCGGUUUUUCACGUUGGAGUAUCCCCUAGUCCGGCGCAGUUUCCUGUGGAGUUUCCGGAAGUCCCUCAGAUGAGCGCAAGGACAGGGUGAAAGAUUGCAGACCCACCGUAACCGGUUAAGAACUUUGUGAUGUGAUGAUUGUGCCUGUUAUUAUCUAACAUUUUGUACAUGCGAUUUUUUGCGCUUUUACUUGUGUUCUAAUUAAACAAUAUUACUCUUA